UACGUAGGGUCCGAGCGUUGUCCGGAAUUACUGGGCGUAAAGAGCUCGUAGGUGGUUUGUCGCGUUGUUCGUGAAAACUCACAGCUUAACUGUGGGCGUGCGGGCGAUACGGGCAGACUUGAGUACUGCAGGGGAGACUGGAAUUCCUGGUGUAGCGGUGGAAUGCGCAGAUAUCAAGAGGAACACCUGCGGCGAAGGCGGGUUGCUGGGCCGACACUGACGCUGAGGCGCGAAAGCUAGGGGAGCGAACGGG
rnacentral:rRNA from 1 species